rnacentral:rRNA from 1 species
GAUGAACGCUGGCGGCGUGCCUAAUACAUGCAAGUCGAGCGAAUGGAUUAAGAGCUUGCUCUUAUGAAGUUAGCGGCGGACGGGUGAGUAACACGUGGGUAACCUGCCCAUAAGACUGGGAUAACUCCGGGAAACCGGGGCUAAUACCGGAUAACAUUUUGAACCGUAUGGUUCGAAGUUGAAAGGCGGCUUCGGCUGUCACUUAUGGAUGGACCCGCGUCGCAUUAGCUAGUUGGUGAGGUAACGGAUCACCAAGGCAACGAUGCGUAGCCGACCUGAGAGGGUGAUCGGCCACACUGGGACUGAGACACGGCCCAGACUCCUACGGGAGGCAGCAGUAGGGAAUCUUCCGCAAUGGACGAAAGUCUGACGGAGCAACGCCGCGUGAGUGGUGAAGGCUUUCGGGUCGUAAAACUCUGUUGUUAGGGAAGAACAAGUGCUAGUUGAAUAAGCUGGCACCUUGACGGUACCUAACCAGAAAGCCACGGCUAACUACGUGCCAGCCGCCGCGGUAA